rnacentral:rRNA from 1 species
UACGUAGGGUGCGAGCGUUAAUCGGAAUUACUGGGCGUAAAGCGUGCGCAGGCGGUCCGCUAAGACAGGUGUGAAAUCCCUGGGCUCAACCUAGGAAUUGCGCUUGUGACUGGCGGGCUAGAGUACGGUAGAGGGGGGUGGAAUUCCUGGUGUAGCAGUGAAAUGCGUAGAGAUCAGGAGGAACACCGAUGGCGAAGGCAGCCCCCUGGGCCUGUACUGACGCUCAGGCACGAAAGCGUGGGGAGCAAACAGG